GUAGGUGAACCUGCGGAAGGAUCAUUAGCAAGUUUUGGAAGGGGUUUGUUGUGGGGGAGUGGGGGGUUGUGGAUGGGUGGGUGUUGGGGGAUUGAUUGCAUCAUGGCAGCAAAUGCAAUAUGCAGUCAGUUCCUAGGAUCCGUCCAUACAUGGCUCCUGAGUCUGCACUACCUAACCAUCCACAUUCACGCUUGUUGUGUUUGACUGAAUUUAUAUAGCAAUUAUUAAAAGACAACUUUUAACAAUGGAU
rnacentral:misc_RNA from 1 species